rnacentral:lncRNA from 1 species
GGUUCUAAUUCAUUUGCUCCUCCAUUUAUUUAUUCAACUUGUAUUUUUAUUGCAUACCUACUUUGCGUUGGUUCUGACAACCUUUAUUUAAAAACAUAGCCUUGCAUGCAUUAUGUCCAUUCAGCAUUUCUCAGCAGUGACAACUUCAUCACUUGGUAAUGAACCAGAAAUUAAUAAUUCUAUCUUUUGUUGUUCAUUUCUAGAAUUUAACAGAAACAAGUUGGAAGAAAAACCAUGUGAAAGCCUGCAAUGAUAUUUUCACCUUUUUUGUGGAAAGAAAUAGAUACAGAAUUGGUAGUAUUUACUAUUAUGGCAUUUUGCUUUUGAAGGAGAAGAACCUGUAUGGUCAUGAAAAUCCAACAAAAAAUAAAAAAUACAAAUGACUAUGCGAGAUUUGCCAGUUAAACACAGUUUUUUAAAAUGAAGAGGACAUCUAAUAAAGGCAGGAGUUUAAAGCUGGAAUCCCUUUGACCUUGGCCACAGCAAACAGAAGAUUAAUGAAAUGAAGCUGAAUGACAGUGCUGGCCCAACAUUCGCAACAUUCAUCUUUUCCCUUCAGUUAUUUUACCACUGGGUCUCAAUUCAUUUCACCUGACUCUUCGACUCUCUUCUACUUCUCAUGACUGGGGGAAUUCCUUUACAUGUUGGACUGGAAAUUUGGAUUUGGUGGUCAUCAGUGUGAAUGUAGUAGCUAUGAGUGAUGAUGAUGUCAUCCAAGGAGAGUAAAUAAAUGUGAAAGAGAAGAAUGUCAUCAAUAGGACAAAGCCCUGCCUGAAAACCC